GGGUGUGUUGGUAACGGCGGGGAAAUACCUGAAACCAUCCCGAACUCAGAAGUCAAGCCCGUUUGUGGCGAAGGUAGUGCUAGGGCGACUUAGUGCAAGAAAAGCUAAAUGCACCCA
rnacentral:rRNA from 1 species